ACGAACGCUGGCGGCGUGCUUAACACAUGCAAGUCGAACGGUGAAGCGCCUUCCUUUUUGGUGGGUGUGGAUGAGUGGCGAACGGGUGAGUAACACGUGAGUAACCUGCCCCCUUCUUCUGGAUAACCGCAUGAAAGUGUGGCUAAUACGGGAUAUUCUGGGUCUGUCGCAUGAUGGGUCUGGGAAAGAUAUUGUUUCGGUGGGGGAUGGGCUCGCGGCCUAUCAGCUUGUUGGUGGGGUGAUGGCCUACCAAGGCGGUGACGGGUAGCCGGCCUGAGAGGGUGGACGGUCACACUGGGACUGAGACACGGCCCAGACUCCUACGGGAGGCAGCAGUGGGGAAUAUUGCACGGUGGGCGCAAGCCUGAUGCAGCGACGCCGCGUGAGGGAUGGAGGCCUUCGGGUUGUGAACCUCUUUCGCCAGUGAAGCAGGGCUGCCUCGUUUGUGGGUGGGUUGACGGUAGCUGGAUAAGAAGCGCCGGCUAACUACGUG
rnacentral:rRNA from 1 species